GGCAAUUUUUCCCCUAAGAUGAGGAAAUGACAAGGUCAUUCCUUUCACCUGGUAACCUCUCAUACAAGGGCUAACCAUUUGUUUUGAAUAACCAGUUGGUAUGCACUCAGGCCCGUGGUCCUAAUCAUCCUCUAUGCAGACCUGCUGGGUAAAGCCACGAGGAACUCAAGAAUGGGCUCCCACAGGACAUACAGAACAUCCAACAGCACAUGUGUUAUUUCUAUAUUCUGAUAUAUCUAACAGACCAAAGUCCAUGAGCUGCCACCAGUUUGUGUCAGCUGUUUCUAUGAUUUUCUCCAUAAUGGUCUUGACCUUACUUGCUCCUGUGAUUCCUCCUCCCUCUCUUCAACUGAAGCCUAGCAAUUCAGCCCAGUGCUUGGAUAUGGAUCACCGCAUCUGCUCCCAUCAGUUACAGGAUGUAGUUAGAGUAUUCACUAUUUUGAUUAUAAGGGAAGGUAAAUCUAGGCGUUCUCUUCACUAUUGCUAGGAGUCUUAGCUGAAAUGGCUUUUUGGAACACAUCCCCUAGGGUGGAAUACCCUGCUCAGCCUUAACACAUAGGGAAGGGAGAGGGUCUUGGUGCUGCCUCAACUUAGUAUGCCAGACAUUGUUGACUCCCCAAGGGAGGCCUUACCCUCUCUGAGGUGUGGAUGGAGGGUGGAAUAA